rnacentral:lncRNA from 10 species
AAAAAAAAAAGCCUACCUUUUGAGUUACUUUCAGAAGAUAACACAGGUUCUCGAGGCUGGACAGUCCAAGAUCAAGGUGCCUGCAUCUGGCGUCUAGUGUGGACCCUAUUCCUGGUUUGCAGCAUUGUUGGUGCUCUGAGGGUGUCAGCCAGGCCACUCAUGCAGACCAUUGCGGCAGCACUGAAAAUGGAAGAAAGAUGGGAUUCUGCUGUCUUUUGUUUUGGCUGAUGAACAGCACCGAGAUGGAGUGGCUCCAGCAGCCAGAACAAGCCACCAUCUCCCCUGGGCUUUCACAGUAGCCUCCUGACUGGUCUUGUUGCUUCCACACUUACACUUCCUGUUCUCUGCAAGGCAGCCAGAGUGACCUUUCACUAAUCCUUGUAUGACCUCUGAAAAUAUGACCUGAAGCAGAUGGAUGCACUCACAUAAGAAACAUCACCUGUGGCCUUCAUCGAAAAUGGGCCUGCUGCUUGAAGAAGUUGGGCUCUUGGAGUUCUCUAGCACAGGGGCCAUGAAAAUCAAUGACUUCCUUGUUUGCUGACGGAGCAGAGGUAGAAUCUCUUGGUGUUUCCACGGAGAAAACACUGACCAUGAAGAGCCAAGAAAGAUGACAUGAUGAAGCCAUCAGGGGAAGCACCAAACAUCCUCAACUCUGCUCACCCAUGGUUUUCUCCCGCCCUCCCAGAGCUCCUCCUGCUGAUGGGCCCCCGACAUGAAACUGGCACUCAGAAUGAAGAAUGCCUUUUCCAGCCUCCCUCGCUGGUGGAGUCUCCGUGUUCCAGCCAAUGAAGUAGGGCAUGCAGUUGCCUGCCCCACUGAAGUCAACUUCAGCCUGAAGAUUGGGAGACUUCCGAAAGUGGAAAACUUGGAAGGAGGAAGCCUGGACAGCCUGCAGUUGAGGGGACCUGCACAAGCUCACAGGACUCUUCAUCACCAUGACACCACGCUCACCGCAAAAUAAAAAUGAUCAAACCUGU